ACCAGCUGAAAGUCACACGCAGUCUCUCCCGAGGCCACGGGUGAGACUCAGCGCCUAGAGCAUGGGGGAUUCAGCUCACCGCCCACUUCCAGUGUGGGGAGAUGAAACCCAGGCUCCAACAGUG